GCCUGGGUAGCUCAGUUGGCUGAGCGUCUGACUUUGGCUCAGGUCAUGAUUUUGCAGUUUGUGGGUUCGAGCCCCGCGUCAGGCU
rnacentral:tRNA from 1 species